ACUAUCAAGGAUUCCCAUAGUAGCGGCGAGCGAAACGGGAAGAGCCCAUCGCUGAAUCCUGCGGCCCCGGCGGGCCGCCGGGAAAUGUAGCGUUAGGGAGGAGAGUUAUAUUUAUACACGCGCGGUCAUUAGUCACGGCUGCCUGUCCAAGUUCAUCUUGAACGGGGCGCUCCGCUUGCCCGCAGAGGGUGCCAGGCCCGUGGUGACGGUACCGGCCGCGACGGUCUCUCUCCCAAGAGUCGGGUUGCUUGAGAGUGCAGCCCUAAGUGGGUGGUAAACUCCAUCUAAGGCUAAAUACUACCACGAGACCGAUAGCGAACAAGUACCG
rnacentral:rRNA from 1 species